UAUGUGGCUGUUCCUAUGCUUUUUAGUUUUUUUUUUUUUGACGUAAUUUGUAUCAACGUUUUAUUGGGUGCGUAUUGAAGGUGUAUGUUAAGGCUCAGAAAUCAAAAGCCUACUUCAAGAGAUAUCAAGUCAAGUUCAAGAGAAGAAGAGAGGGAAAGACCGAUUACCGAGCCAGAAUUCGGUUGAUUAAUCAGGACAAGAACAAAUACAACACUC